rnacentral:rRNA from 1 species
GGAUCGUAGUCUGCAACUCGACUACAUGAAGCUGGAAUCGCUAGUAAUCGCGAAUCAGAAUGUCGCGGUGAAUACGUUCCCGGGUCUUGUACACACCGCCCGUCACACCAUGGGAGUCGGGAAUGCCCGAAGUCAGUGACCCAACCGGAAGGAGGGAGCUGCCGAAGGCAGGCUCGAUAACUGGGGUGAAGUCGUAACAAGGUAAC